UACGGAGGGGGCUAGCGGUGUUCGGAAUUACUGGGCGUAAAGGGCGCGUAGGCGGCGUCGUAAGUCAGGCGUGAAAGGCCCGGGCUCAACCCGGGAACUGCGCUUGAUACUGCGGCGCUCGAGUCCGGGAGAGGAUGGCGGAAUUCCCAGUGUAGAGGUGAAAUUCGUAGAGAUUGGGAAGAACACCGGUGGCGAAGGUGGCCAUCUGGACCGGUACUGACGCUAAUGCGCGAAAGCGUGGGGAGCAAACAGG
rnacentral:rRNA from 1 species